rnacentral:rRNA from 1 species
UAUNCGUCAAUGGGGGAAACCCUGAACGAGCNAUGCCGCGUGAGUGAUGGCGGUCCUCUGGGUUGUAAAACUCUGUUGUUUAGGAAAAACUGUAUAAACAGGAAAUGGUUUAUGCUUGAUGGUACUAUUCAAGAGAGCCACGGCUAACUACGUGCCAGCAGCCGCGGUAAUACGUAGGUGGCGAGCGUUAUCCGGAUUUAUUGGGCGUAAAGCGUCCGCGGACGGCUUGUUAAGUCUAGAAUCAAAGCCCGGAGCUUAACUUCGGUUCGUUCUAGAAACUGGCAGGCUUGAGUAUAGUAGAGGCAAGUGGAAUUUCUAGUGUAGCGGUAGAAUGCGUAGAUAUUAGAAGGAACACCAGUGGCGAAGGCGACUUGCUAGGCUAUUACUGACGUUCAUGGACGAAAGCGUGGGGAGCAAAUAGG